rnacentral:rRNA from 1 species
UUAAGCGACUAAGCGUACACGGUGGAUGCCCUGGCAGUCAGAGGCGAUGAAGGACGUGCUAAUCUGCGAAAAGCGUCGGUAAGGUGAUAUGAACCGUUAUAACCGGCGAUGUCCGAAUGGGGAAACCCAGUGCAAUUCGUUGCACUAUCGUUAACUGAAUACAUAGGUUAACGAGGCGAACCGGGGGAACUGAAACAUCUAAGUACCCCGAGGAAAAGAAAUCAACCGAGAUUCCCCCAGUAGCGGCGAGCGAACGGGGAGCAGCCCAGAGUCUGAAUCAGCUUGUGUGUUAGUGGAACGGUCUGGAAAGUCCGACGGUACAGGGUGAUAGUCCCGUACACCAAAAUGCACAGGCUGUGAACUCGAAGAGUAGGGCGGGACACGUGGUAUCCUGUCUGAAUAUGGGGGGACCAUCCUCCAAGGCUAAAUACUCCUGACUGACCGAUAGUGAACCAGUACCGUGAGGGAAAGGCGAAAAGAACCCCGGCGAGGGGAGUGAAAAAGAACCUGAAACCGUGUACGUACAAGCAGUGGGAGCACCUUCGGGUGUGACUGCGUACCUUUUGUAUAAUGGGUCAGCGACUUAUAUUCUGUAGCAAGGUUAACCGUAUAGGGGAGCCGCAGGGAAACCGAGUCUUAACUGGGCGUUAAGUUGCAGGGUAUAGACCCGAAACCCGGUGAUCUAGCCAUGGGCAGGUUGAAGGUUGGGUAACACUAACUGGAGGACCGAACCGACUAAUGUUGAAAAAUUAGCGGAUGACUUGUGGCUGGGGGUGAAAGGCCAAUCAAACCGGGAGAUAGCUGGUUCUCCCCGAAAGCUAUUUAGGUAGCGCCUCGUGAAUUCAUCUUCGGGGGUAGAGCACUGUUUCGGCUAGGGGGUCAUCCCGACUUACCAACCCGAUGCAAACUACGAAUACCGAAGAAUGUUAUCACGGGAGACACACGGCGGGUGCUAACGUCCGUCGUGAAGAGGGAAACAACCCAGACCGCCAGCUAAGGUCCCAAAGUCAUGGUUAAGUGGGAAACGAUGUGGGAAGGCACAGACAGCCAGGAUGUUGGCUUAGAAGCAGCCAUCAUUUAAAGAAAGCGUAAUAGCUCACUGGUCGAGUCGGCCUGCGCGGAAGAUGUAACGGGGCUAAACCAUGCACCGAAGCUGCGGCAGCGACACUAUGUGUUGUUGGGUAGGGGAGCGUUCUGUAAGCCUGCGAAGGUGUGCUGUGAGGCAUGCUGGAGGUAUCAGAAGUGCGAAUGCUGACAUAAGUAACGAUAAAGCGGGUGAAAAGCCCGCUCGCCGGAAGACCAAGGGUUCCUGUCCAACGUUAAUCGGGGCAGGGUGAGUCGACCCCUAAGGCGAGGCCGAAAGGCGUAGUCGAUGGGAAACAGGUUAAUAUUCCUGUACUUGGUGUUACUGCGAAGGGGGGACGGAGAAGGCUAUGUUAGCCGGGCGACGGUUGUCCCGGUUUAAGCAUGUAGGCUGGUUAUCCAGGCAAAUCCGGAUAAUCAAGGCUGAGGUGUGAUGACGAGGCACUACGGUGCUGAAGUAACAAAUGCCCUGCUUCCAGGAAAAGCCUCUAAGCAUCAGGUAACAUUAAAUCGUACCCCAAACCGACACAGGUGGUCAGGUAGAGAAUACCAAGGCGCUUGAGAGAACUCGGGUGAAGGAACUAGGCAAAAUGGUGCCGUAACUUCGGGAGAAGGCACGCUGGUGUGUAGGUGAAGCCCCUGCGGGUGGAGCUGAGACCAGUCGAAGAUACCAGCUGGCUGCAACUGUUUAUUAAAAACACAGCACUGUGCAAACACGAAAGUGGACGUAUACGGUGUGACGCCUGCCCGGUGCCGGAAGGUUAAUUGAUGGGGUUAUCCGUAAGGAGAAGCUCUUGAUCGAAGCCCCGGUAAACGGCGGCCGUAACUAUAACGGUCCUAAGGUAGCGAAAUUCCUUGUCGGGUAAGUUCCGACCUGCACGAAUGGCGUAAUGAUGGCCAGGCUGUCUCCACCCGAGACUCAGUGAAAUUGAACUCGCUGUGAAGAUGCAGUGUACCCGCGGCAAGACGGAAAGACCCCGUGAACCUUUACUAUAGCUUGACACUGAACAUUGAGCCUUGAUGUGUAGGAUAGGUGGGAGGCUUUGAAGCGUGGACGCCAGUCUGCGUGGAGCCAACCUUGAAAUACCACCCUUUAAUGUUUGAUGUUCUAACGUUGGCCCCUGACCGGGGUUGCGGACAGUGUCUGGUGGGUAGUUUGACUGGGGCGGUCUCCUCCCAAAGCGUAACGGAGGAGCACGAAGGUUAGCUAAUCCUGGUCGGACAUCAGGAGGUUAGUGCAAUGGCAUAAGCUAGCUUGACUGCGAGCGUGACGGCGCGAGCAGGUGCGAAAGCAGGUCAUAGUGAUCCGGUGGUUCUGAAUGGAAGGGCCAUCGCUCAACGGAUAAAAGGUACUCCGGGGAUAACAGGCUGAUACCGCCCAAGAGUUCAUAUCGACGGCGGUGUUUGGCACCUCGAUGUCGGCUCAUCACAUCCUGGGGCUGAAGUAGGUCCCAAGGGUAUGGCUGUUCGCCAUUUAAAGUGGUACGCGAGCUGGGUUUAGAACGUCGUGAGACAGUUCGGUCCCUAUCUGCCGUGGGCGCUGGAGAAUUGAGGGGGGCUGCUCCUAGUACGAGAGGACCGGAGUGGACGCAUCACUGGUGUUCGGGUUGUCAUGCCAAUGGCACUGCCCGGUAGCUAAAUGCGGAAGAGAUAAGUGCUGAAAGCAUCUAAGCACGAAACUUGCCCCGAGAUGAGUUCUCCCUGAGACUUUAAGUCUCCUGAAGGAACGUUGAAGACGACGACGUUGAUAGGCCGGGUGUGUAAGCGCAGCGAUGCGUUGAGCUAACCGGUACUAAUGAACCGUGAGGCUUAACCUU